CUCGGCGCAGGGGGCGGAGCUCGGUUACCGCUCGCCGAAAGGGAAGCGCUUCCAGCAACGAGCUCAGCUACAGCCCCGCGCCUUGGUACAAUAACCGCGUGAUUGUGGCGGUACGCUGUCAGCAUCUCGUCCUGGUGGCUCUGCAUAGAGGGAGUGGGAAUGUGCUUUGGUAACUUUCCCAUUUUCACUUCUGUCUCAAAACAGAAGAUCUGAACCUGCUCUAGGUGACCCUGCCUUGGCAGGGGGUUGGACUAGAUGAUCUCCAGAGCUCCUUUCCAACCCUAAAAAGUCUGUGAUUCUGUGAAAUUUCAGGCUUUCCACGACAGGCUUUCCCAGAAGACCCUACAGUGUGCCGUGGGAAACGGGGACGCAGCAAAGCGAGCACUGAUCCCAGAGCUCCCUCAGGAUGCCAAGACUCGGGCACGGCGGAGAGCUCUUCCGUCAUCCAGGAAGGUCCAUUGUGUCCCAUCUAAGCACCACUCGGGUUUGGAGAAGGUGAGCUGAAAAGUACUUCCUUAGCCUGCAAAAUGGACUAAUGAAUUUGUUUAUACCAAAACACCUCUUGAGGCCAAAGUAGUGCUUGUAUAUAUGAUUUGAAAGAUUUUCUUCUAGAAGACAUGUAAAACAUGUGGUUUGCUUUUGAUUUUUUUUCUUUUUAUGUUCUUAAAAUACUCUUCCAUACCAGCAGAGCUGUGACUGGAUAUAGCAUGACCUGGCAUAAAUGUCAGGGUAGAAACUCAACUCUGGUAGUUGGAUUUGAUCAGAAAAAUAAAAGUAAAUUGAUGUUUC